GGCAGAGAGAGGAAAGAAAACACGCGCGCGCACACACGGUGAUAUCUUGCGGGUGAUGAAUAUGAUAAUUGGACAAGGGACGGGUCCCCUGGGAACAGAAAGUUUUGAGAGAGUUUACUAUUUGUGCAGGAUGACUCGUUGAGCAAAGAAGUCCAAAGUUUUUUGUCUGCAGAAUAAAUAAAUCCUGGGCAAAGGCACAUAGAAAGUCACUGUGACUUUGAAGCCACUGCUUUGCUGUGCCCAAAUGCUCUCUUGGGGACUGGCCUUGGGGAGGAGAUUCAAAGCAAAACCUUCAGAGGAAAAGAAAGAGAGACAUAGAGAAACAGAGACAAGCACCCUCAACAGGCUCUUCAUGCUGCAAUCCACCCUGAGCCUUGGUCAACCCAGGGAGAACCCAGGACACGACCCCGGAUUUUCUCAUAUGGAUCCAAGGUCUGCAAAGCCUCAUCCUCCUGACUUUAUCAUCUCCAGCAUUGUGCCGUAUCAUUUGGUUGUUGAUGGCAAUCACUGCAACUGGAGCUAGACAUCAGGAAAAGAUUCAAUAAAAACACGAUGCCUCUUUUGGGAAGUUCUACUACCUUCCUCUCUUACCACCCUUUCCCGCCCCAUAACUUCUUUCUUCUCCUUUUCAUAAUUAUCUGUGCCAGAUUACUUCAUAUCCCUUGGUAAAAACAUGAAAAUAUGUCUGUUUACUAGUGGACCUCCCUUUGGGUAUCCUUCCUUUUAAAUUAUUUUAUUUAACUUUAUUUAUUUAUUUGAAUUUGACCAGAGAGGGAGAGAG